rnacentral:rRNA from 1 species
CAGGGAUUGCCCUAGUAACGGCGAGUGAAGCGGCAACAGCUCAAAUUUGAAAUCUGGCGCAAGCCCGAGUUGUAAUUUGUAGAGGAUGUUUCUGGCGACGUGCCUUCCGAGUUCCCUGGAACGGGACGCCAUAGAGGGUGAGAGCCCCGUACGGUUGGAUGCCUAGCCUCUGUGAAACUCCUUCGACGAGUCGAGUAGUUUGGGAAUGCUGCUCUAAAUGGGAGGUAUACGUCUUCUAAAGCUAAAUACCGGCCAGAGACCGAUAGCGCACAAGUAGAGUGAUCGAAAGAUGAAAAGCACUUUGAAAAGAGGGUUAAAAAGUACGUGAAAUUGUUGAAAGGGAAGCGUUCAUGACCAGACUUGGGCAGGUUGAUCAUCCGUGGUUCUCCGCGGUGCACUCUGCCUGCCCAGGCCAGCAUCAGUUCGCCCCGGGGGAUAAAGGUUUCGGGAAUGUGGCUCCUCCGGGAGUGUUAUAGCCCGUUGCGUAAUACCCUGGGACGGACUGAGGUUCGCGCUCUGCAAGGAUGCUGGCGUAAUGGUCAUCAACGACCCGUCUUGAAACACGGACCAAGGAGUCGUCUUCGUAUGCGAGUGUUCGGGUGUCAAACCCCUACGCGUAAUGAAAGUGAACGUAGGAGAGAGCUUCGGCGCAUCUCCGACCGAUCCUGAUGUUCUCGGAUGGAUUUGAGUAAGAGCAUACGGGGCCGGACCCGAAAGAAGGUGAACUAUGCCUGUAUAGGGUGAAGCCAGAGGAAACUCUGGUGGAGGCUCGCAGCGGUUCUGACGUGCAAAUCGAUCGUCAAAUAUGGGCAUGGGGGCGAAAGACUAAUCGA